AACAGAAAAAUAAUAACAACCGUGGGUUUCGCUGUUGUUGUCAGUGUUGCUUUUCAGGUGUACUGAGACGCUUGCUAAGCUCGGAGUUUCCAACUCAUUGCUUAUUUUGCAAAGUAAACAAGCAAAUGUUAUGUGCAUAACCUUAGCUGUCUCUGCAAAGGUCAGUGCGUGGCUGCUAAUUUCUUCUCCUGCCUUUUGGUGGCACUCUGAUGCCAGCGAUUACUUCUGGCGCGUUUGGGAAACAAGACGUCCUUUCUUAACAAAAGACUCAAUCUACAAAGGCCACAAAACAAAAAUUGAUUAAAGUUGAACCGUAGUAUGAAAGUUUACUUUGGUGUAUCAAAUAGCCCGGUAAGCUCUACGUAGCAGCUCAUCUGUAACGGGGGCCAUGGGGCGUCACUGGGCGCAACUGGGACUGCAUGGACAGCUGAACUCCAUGAUUUUGACUAGAGGUGACAGCUGAAAAGCACCAGAAACCCUUGGAAUUUCAGAUCUAUAUAUUACUAUAAAGGAAGAAAAUAAAGUUCCGCUAGUAGAAGUUUGGCAUGUACUUACCAACAGCAUGGCGGGAUGUCUGCAGUGAAAUGUUCCCAGCUCUGUGACCUCCUGCUGCAGGAAAAGAUCAAUAUUAUAAAGAGGUCAAGUGACUCCGUGAAUUAGUCUCCUGCGUUUUCACUCCUGGAAGUGGCGGAUCUAAUCCUGUUUGGAGAAGUAUCCAGUGUGGACUACAGCUGCUGAGAAGACACCAGACUAAACGGACCAUUGGAAAUUGCACGUGCUGAUAUCAUUCCUUUAAAUAGGAAUGAUUUGCUCUUAUGCUUGAUAAACACAUAAGUAGAAGCCUAGUCUUUUCAUUUCUGCCUCUUUUCCUGGAGGGCCAGGGGAUCUCCCAGUGCUGUCUGUUCUUUUCCUCUGUGUUUUGCAGGCAAGGGAAUCUCAUGCAAGCCUCAGCUCCACAUCCUCUGAAGAGGCAACAUUAAAGUCAGCACUUGACUGCACUGAAUUUUACAGGAUUUUCUCCCAAGAUCUUUCUGGCAAGCAUUGCACUCUCCUGGGUUUCGAUGCUGUGAGAAUUACAAUUCAUCCAGAGUUCAAGCCUUUGGUUAAGACAAUGUCCUCAGGGUUAUGAGGUAUGUUAAAUGGCAGAAGAAAAAGCUACUGUUCUGGUUCCCCUGCUCAGCUGCAUUGCAUCAGGUGUGCCGUGGAAUAGCUAAUCCCAUUCUAUUUAGACAUCCAGACCUCAACUCCACAGAGGUCACUUCUGCAACCCAGCAGAGCUUUGUGGGCUUUCCCUUUGACCUUGGCCAUGUAGAAGCACCAGGACCUCACACGCAAUUAAAAACAUGGGGUUGGAGUACCACAACUCAGUAUCAGGCCCAUUCUUUAUUCCCUUUUCUCUGGAAGGAAAUGACUGGAAUAUGACUCAGCCCACUGCUAAUCCCAGAAGUAGGUGAGAUCAAUCCCCGUGUAAAGGCAUGGCACCUCCCACAGCUCUGCUUCUUGACGUGGUGCUUGUGGGUUUUAGCAGCCUCUAGUGAAAAGACAAGGAGAAAUUCUUUGCUGUUUUUUUUUUUUUCUUUUAUUGUUUUUGUUUCAUACUUUCAUUUUUGUUUUAUCCAUAAAGACUCCUUGAAGCUGAAACACUUUGCAGAAGCACCCAUUGAUGCCCAGAAAGAGGAGCACUUUCUACUUAAGUCAGCAGCUUCCUUAUCUUGUAGACUGCCAGGGAGACUGAGCCCAUGGGUUACAGCUUUUAGAGGCCCCUCUACAUCACCCAGCUCUCCCUCCAUCAGCAUGGGGCUGCCAAGGGCUGUGUUGAACCCAUCUGAAGUGAGACCUCAGCUCCCAGGAGUGCCCCAGCCUCUGGUCAGGCAGAUCCCAUCCUGUUGGCUCCUGGCAGAUUGGGUAUUCAACAAGCUUCACAGACCCAUCACAGGGCCCUUUCCUAUUUCUUUUUAAGGAAACAUUCUGAUAUGAUAUUUUCUCCCUCUGUGGGAAAUGUCAACAUUUAUGAAAUGGGAGCAAACUGUUUAAAUUUUUUAUAGACUGAAAAGAUUAAGCUUCGGCCAGCUCUCGUCAAAAUUUCCCUGGUUCCCCAUAAGCAAAUGAAUUUGAGUGAAAAAGCGUCGUUGUCUGUAGUGCUGCACAGAGGAAGCCAUCAACUUGUUCCCUGCAGUCCUACCUUGUUACUUGAGUAUGCAUGGGAAUCUGAGGUGUGUCUUUAUAGGUCCGUAUUUCCACGACCUCCAGUAUUCUUUCUCUCAUUUGUUAUUUUAUCGUGUAACCUGGAUAGAGCUACAAUUCUAGUGGCACUUUAAAACACUAUUGCUUGUAUAUGCUCCAAUUGCAGCUCUGAUGAAGCAGAUGAGAUAAAGCAGUGUUCUCAUCUCUGCAUCUCAGACACAAUAAGGACAGAUAAAGAAAUGCAAAGACCAUUGCAAAACACUGUUUAUUACUAUUUUCAGUGGCAGUGAGUACUCCAAAUGAAUCUCUGCACAGCUGAACUUUUGCACAGACAAUACUGCUGGGACCUCAGCAGACCACAGUCAGCUCAUUUUUGCAUCUGAAUCCCUAAAAAAAGAACACCCAGACUUUUAGGGUGGAAUUCAUUUUAAUCAAAUAUUUGGGUCUUAUGCUGCGGCUUUAAAAUAAUCACUGUCCAGUGGAAAGUGAUACAAUAUGGCACACUGAAAAACAUUCCCAAAUUCACCGGAAUGCAAUCACUGAGGAGUUCAUUUUCUGUAAGGUCUUAAAACACAACCAUGCAGUAAAAAAACUUUAUUUCAUUGUCUGGCUAUUCUGCCAAGUCCGUUCCUUCCUGGAAUGUUUAUUAAAUUUAGUUUCAUGUGGUCUGUAAAUAUAUAUACAUAUAUGCAUUCAUAUCUGGUCUCCUCUUGCCUCAGGAGGCUGGGUGGGCUGCAGCCUGCUUUAGGGGAAUUAGUACUAGCGCUGAAAUUUUAGCUACAUGCAAAGAUGUGACAAAACAAAUUUGCUUUCCCUGUGGGAGCUUUGUCCUCCCUGUGGAUGACUAAAUCUAGAUUACAUAGCUCGUGCCGAUAAAAAUGCAACAAUCUUUUCUUUCGUUAUUAUUUCUGUGUUUGAGUUUUUCUUUCUUUUUUUGUUUUCUUUUUUGACCAAGAGCACGGAGUAUUGACUUGAUGAUUCCAACGCAGCUGUCUGGCAGUGUUAAUCAAUGAUCUCUGCUUGCUCACAAUGUACUACCAGCGUUAGAUCAUGGUGACAAGAGCAGUACAAGCUUAGUGCAGCCUCCGAGUAAAUCAUCACUUUCUUAGUCACUGUGAGCACUUGGACUAAAUGAGCAUUUGGAGUAAAUACUGUUUUCUGCAUGUUAGAAAUGAAGCAAAAUUCCUCUCCUCUCCUCUCCUCUCCUCUCCUCUCCUCUCCUCUCCUCUCCUCUCCUCUCCUCUCCUUUCACAAGCUGUUUCAUAUCUCCUACUAUUGCGCCUGUCAAGAUAUUCUUCUGUCUUCCAUAGCUAGAUAAUUGAAUCCCUAUUAUUUUCAUAGUCUUAAUGAAGGUUCUCUAAGAUCCUUGCUUGUUACAUCUGAAAAUUGAAUAAAAAAUUCCUUUGUGCUGACAGCUUCAUUGUAGUCAGUGUUCAAAAUAUCAAAGGAAGAAUGCUAAAUGUUCAUAAUGUAAAGUGUCAGGAGUGCAAUCUGGGAUAAUAGAAUACAUGUCUUGCAAACUUGCACUUUAAUAUGGCAAACUACUUGGUCAGCAAGCAAAUUAAUUCAUUUAGGAUUUGAUAUUAUUGCAUGUAGUGGGUCAGCUUUUGCAGGCAGCUCUGUCUUAUGAUGAAUUUUGCUAGCACACGACACUGUGUGUGCAGAUGCCAACCACAGAAUGACUGCAUGCUUGGUGUAAGGAUAUAACAGCAGUGACUUCCCAAAUAUGUCUCUGUUCGCUGUAUUUCUUUGUAAGCUCGCUUCCUUUUUUUUUUUUUCUCCAGUGCAUGCUCACUGUUCAAAGAGACUAAUAAACAUUUGCAGUAAUUAUCUGGUUAUCCCUUCAAAAUACCAAAUGUUGUACAGUAUGAAUUGAUGGCACAGAUGUUUGAAGCAUGAACAGAUGAAUGCAGUGAAAUGCUGUCAAUGGAGUGUUGUCUCCCACAGUUCCACCAAGAAACCUGAACAUAUUUUCUGGCAGAACUGCUCAUUUUCCCAGGGCAGAUAUUUGCAAGCUUACCUCUGUAGCUUGUGAAUACCAAAAUGAAUGGUAAAUAUUAACCUCUGAGAGCUAGAACAAUGUGAAAAAUUACAAAAGUAAAUGUUAGCAGAGAUAUCUGUUACACAGGCAAAGAGAGAGACGGCACUGAAAGGAUUUAUGUUAUUUUUGAGCCUUGGCUUGCACACGAAUGAUGUGAAUUUUUCUACUGAAAGAAAACUGAGGUCCAAUUUUUCAAAACGUUGCCUUGAAGUUUUGUUUUUCAGAGUUGGGGACCUGAUUGGAAAAGCAGCUCUCUGGAAAAAUAAUUAUGGAAGACAAAAAAUAAUAAUAAAAGAGAAAGAAAAUAUGUGACGUGCUGUAGAAGUUAUAGCUGCAAACAGGUUUUCAUUCUCUUGUGCAUAAGCAAAUAAAUACAAAAUAAAAGAAACUACACAAAUGGA